CAGCAAGGUCAAAAGCUGCUGCUUUGUUUUGUCCUGGAUUUUGCACCUUCUGAAGGGAGACAGAGAUGGUGUUAUCUCUGAGAGUGAGUUUAGAGGCUUUGCUGGACAACCUUUGGCAAGUGCAGGGUGGAGCAGGCAGGGAGCCUGCAGCUGGCGUGCAAAUCAGUGAGAAAACAGAGAGCACAGACACAGAGGUGACAGAAAGGAAACUUUCAGAGACAGUCAGAGGGAGUCUGCUGCAAUCCACUGUGAAAACUGUAGGAUGGAGAACAAGGGAACAACGUUGGCACACCUACCUCAUGUCUCUGGCUGACUCAGCGUCACAUCGACUUGCAAUUUUCACAAUGAACCUCUCAGACACAGGACAAGAGAAGAGACUUAGCACGCUGCCAGUCUAUAUCCAGAAGAACUGAAGUGGAAGAAGACUUACAGUUUCCCAAAACAGGGAAGGGGAUAUCAAG
rnacentral:lncRNA from 1 species